UCCACUGGGACCAUCCAGUUGAGGGCCUGCUUACAAUACAGCAGCAAUGUCAUCACCACUGAUCAUUGUGUAUUUCAAUGGCCUCUCCUUAUCUCUUAUGGGUCAAUAAGGUAAAGUGAAUUUACACACAAGCCACACAAGUCUUUUUCUUGGGAACCUCCACAGCUUCUCUAUGAAAAUCCUAGAAAUGGUCACAGAUGGAUGUGUAUGGAGCCUUGUGGGCAUUCACAAGGUGGAUGGAGACAAUCACACUGCUGCCUAGAAAAACUACUACAUAUGACCAAAAUCUGGAUGUAACCUCUUUACACAUCAGCCAUGCCCCUCCACAAUCACAUAGUGAAAGAUUCCUGGACGCAGGACAGCCCCGCAGCUGCAUGUGCAG